rnacentral:lncRNA from 1 species
GGGAUGUUUGGUAGGAACUCCCAUCUUUGUUGAGACGAAGUUCCCUAUGUUUUUGGUGUAGUUUGUUUUUCAUCUGUUGCCGAUGUGGUUCGUCGCUUUUCCUUUUUAAUUUUUCUUCUCUUUUUCGAGCGAGGGUCCUCCCCUUGCUUUUCAUGGGGUCGCAUAGAGGUGUGGAGGUGCCAUUGAGGAGACUUUUCCCUUUAUCCGAUCACG